GAAAUGCGAUAAGUAGUGUGAAUUGCAGAAUUCAGUGAAUCAUCGAAUCUUUGAACGCACAUUGCGCCCUUUGGCAUUCCGAAGGGCAUGCCUGUUCGAGCGUCAUUUCAAACCUCCAGCCCUGCCUGGGUCUUGGGCGUCCUUUGUCUUGCUUGCAAGACUCGCCUCAAAGCCAUCGGCUGCUAGUCCUUGUCCCCUGCGGCGCCCAGUACAUUGCGGCGGCCCCAGGCGGCGGGCGGCGUGCCGGAACCCCCUUUUGUAAUUUUCUGGUUUGACCUCGGAUCAGGUAGGAAUACCCGCUGAACUUAA
rnacentral:misc_RNA from 1 species